GAUGAACGCUGGCGGCGUGCCUAAUACAUGCAAGUCGAGCGAACAGACGAGGAGCUUGCUCCUCUGACGUUAGCGGCGGACGGGUGAGUAACACGUGGAUAACCCACCUAUAAGACUGGGAUAACUUCGGGAAACCGGAGCUAAUACCGGAUAAUAUAUUGAACCGCAUGGUUCAAUAGUGAAAGACGGCUUUGCUGUCUCUUAUAGAUGGAUCCGCGCCGCAUUAGCUAGUUGGUAAGGUAACGGCUUACUAAGGCAACGAUGCGUAGCCGACCUGAGAGGGUGAUCGGCCACACUGGAGCUGAGACACGGUCCAGACUCCUACGAGAGGCAGCAGUAGGGAAUCUUCCGCAAUGGGCGAAAGCCUGACGGAGCGACGGCGCGUGAGUGAUGAAGGUCUUCGGAUCGUAAUACUCUGUUAUUAGUGAAGAACAAAUGUGUAAGUAACUAUGCACGUCUUGACGGUACCUAGUCAGAAAGCCACGGCUAACUACGUG
rnacentral:rRNA from 1 species